CCUACGGGUGGCAGCAGUGGGGAAUUUUGGACAAUGGGCGCAAGCCUGAUCCAGCCAUGCCGCGUGUCUGAAGAAGGCCUUCGGGUUGUAAAGGACUUUUGUCAGGGAAGAAAAGGCUGUUGCUAAUAUCAAUAGCUGAUGACGGUACCUGAAGAAUAAGCACCGGCUAACUACGUGCCAGCAGCCGCGGUAAUACGUAGGGUGCGAGCGUUAAUCGGAAUUACUGGGCGUAAAGCGGGCGCAGACGGUUACUUAAGCAGGAUGUGAAAUCCCCGGGCUCAACCUGGGAACUGCGUUCUGAACUGGGUAACUAGAGUGUGUCAGAGGGAGGUAGAAUUCCACGUGUAGCAGUGAAAUGCGUAGAGAUGUGGAGGAAUACCGAUGGCGAAGGCAGCCUCCUGGGAUAACACUGACGUUCAUGCCCGAAAGCGUGGGUAGCAAACAGGAUUAGAUACCCGGGUAGUC
rnacentral:rRNA from 1 species